rnacentral:lncRNA from 1 species
GCCUUCUGAGCCCUUGGCUGGUCUCUGAAACUUUCUUUGACAUCUUCUGAUACACCCAAACUUCCAGAAUAGGCCCCACUUUCCUCCUUUUGUGUGCAAGAGGAAAUUCUCGUGUGUGAUUCAUUUGACAAUCUCAGCUUCUUCUUUCUGGGGAAGUAACUCUACUUAGUAGUCAUCACCUCAAAGUGGCUAGCUGUUGGGCAAGAAGUUGCUAUUGCAUCCGCAUGUCUAGGAUUUAAUCUUCAGAGAAGAUGAUAUUCUAUCGCAGUGAAAUUCUGUC